rnacentral:rRNA from 1 species
GACGAACGCUGGCGGCGUGCCUAAUACAUGCAAGUAGAACGCUGAAGGAGGAGCUUGCUUCUCUGGAUGAGUUGCGAACGGGUGAGUAACGCGUAGGUAACCUGCCUGGUAGCGGGGGAUAACUAUUGGAAACGAUAGCUAAUACCGCAUAAUAGUAGAUGUUGCAUGACAUUUGCUUAAAAGGUGCAAUUGCAUCACUACCAGAUGGACCUGCGUUGUAUUAGCUAGUUGGUGAGGUAACGGCUCACCAAGGCGACGAUACAUAGCCGACCUGAGAGGGUGAUCGGCCACACUGGGACUGAGACACGGCCCAGACCCCUACGGGAGGCAGCAGUAGGGAAUCUUCGGCAAUGGACGGAAGUCUGACCGAGCAACGCCGCGUGAGUGAAGAAGGUUUUCGGAUCGUAAAGCUCUGUUGUAAGAGAAGAACGAGUGUGAGAGUGGAAAGUUCACACUGUGACGGUAUCUUACCAGAAAGGGACGGCUAACUACGUGCCAGCAGCCGCGGUAAUACGUAGGUCCCGAGCGUUGUCCGGAUUUAUUGGGCGUAAAGCGAGCGCAGGCGGUUAGAUAAGUCUGAAGUUAAAGGCUGUGGCUUAACCAUAGUACGCUUUGGAAACUGUUUAACUUGAGUGCAAGAGGGGAGAGUGGAAUUCCAUGUGUGGCGGUGAAAUGCGUAGAUAUAUGGAGGAACACCGGUGGCGAAAGCGGCUCUCUGGCUUGUAACUGACGCUGAGGCUCGAAAGCGUGGGGAGCAAACAGG